AGACCACCAGACCACUGUACUGGGAGAGACCAGGAUUGGACAUUGGUGGUGUUUGGCCCCUCUGGACUCCAGUCUGGAGAAGGAGAGGUCACCCUGAUGGUAUUCUGGGGCUCCAGGUAGACUGAUCCCAGUCGGGCCCUAUCGUCAAUCAACCGACCUGCAGGAGUUUAUUGGAAAACCCUCUAGAGGACUGACCUCUAUGGUCCAGGACAUCAGUUCCAGGUGUCAGGUGUAUACACAGUUAAACUCCAAGGCAAGACCAAAAAAACAAAGAUUCUUCAGAGUGAGAUCCAGGCUGCAAAACUACAGGCUUGAGAAAAAAAACCUUUGUGACAUUCCAGCCCCACAGUUUCAAGCCAGGAGACCUGGUCCUGAUAUACUUGGUUUGCUUGUACUGAGGACUUGACUAAAUACACUCCCAAAUCAGUCUUGGCUACCCAAUCUGCCACUUUAUUUUGUGUCACCAUGUAUGUUGUUCCACAAGUCUUGUAUUAUAAUAAAAAAGGGGGCCAUAAACAUCUGGGAUCAACAACUGAACACUAUAGGAGUAAAUGGGCUGGCCCCAUUUUAGUGCCAAUUCUGGUAGGAUUAGGAAUAACUGGGUCAGUGGCUAUUGGAACUUCCUCCCUGAUCCUUCAGGACACAAAUUUUAAAGCCCUAAGCCACCAAGUAGCCAGAGAUUUGGGUCACUGAAAGACUUGAUCUUCAGAUUUAAAAAAACAGGUUGAUUCCCUAGCUGAGAUGGUCCUGCAAAAUCAAAGGGGACUUGACCUCCUGUUCAUAAAGCAAGGAGGGUUAUAUGUAGCCCUAGGAAAAAAAACCCUGUUGCUUCUAUGCUAAUGGUUAACUACCCUAGUUUUUGCUGUAACAGGCC
rnacentral:lncRNA from 1 species